CCGAGCGAAGCGAGAAAACGUUGCGUCAGCAACGGCCCGCAGGGCGAGCCACGCAGUGGCGAGUCAUCCUCUAUCACCGACCA
rnacentral:sRNA from 1 species